UUGUUUUGAACUCGGCAUCAGUAUAUCGAUAAUUAUUGAGUAGACGCAGGUCUAGUAUCCGCGUAUCCAUCUGAAAUCCAUAAAGCAGAAAUGCUAAACGGACCUUAGAUCWGGRAUUCUACUCCGAUUCACACAUCGAAACCGAAACAAGGUAAACGCGUUUGGUUUUCAUAUUGUCAAUGGCAGUCGACAUAUACUACAUCUCGCUCUGAMUUGAAAUUAGUGUUGUUUAAACUGAAACGGAUGAUGACCUCUCAGAGGAGAACAGGACAGUCGUGGUCUCUGGUGUACCAGACACACUGUCCAGCAGUCGCAUGGCAGACAAGCUGGUUAUUCACUUCCAGAGCUCCAGAAGCCACGGAGGAGAUGUAGAAAACGUCAAGUACCCGACCAGCUUCAAGGGGGUGGCUUUUGUUACAUUUGAAAACACCAGAGAUGCUGAGAUGGUAAUCAGAAAGAAACAGAUAUGUGUGACAAGGAGUUCCCUCAAGACUACCCUAUCACUG